UGGUAUUUACACGAUUCUUCCGGUUUUUAGUUUAGGGACGCUGACAAUCCUGCUGAUACAUGGCUCAAAGCCAAGGAAGAGUUGUAAUUGAUUCAAAACUGCGAAGAUAAUGUCCCAGAAAACCUGGAUAGAAAGCACAUUUACCAAGAGAGAAUGUGUAUGCAUAAUUCCAAGUUCAAAGGACCCUCACAGAUGUCUUCCAGGAUGUCAGAUAUGCCAGCAGCUUGUCAGGU